UCCGGUUCCCUUUUUCUAUUAUGUCUUGUGAGCAUACACAAAGCUGUCCAGGGAGUAUAUAUCUUCUCCAAGAAGCAAAGGUAAAAUCUAAUUAGAAGAAUGUGUGUUUUAGUAGUAGCACCUAACUUCCUUAUUGGAUUUGCUUUACAGUGUAUGGGUUCCUGUGGUCUCCACGUGAUGUGUGUAUGGAUGCUAGGUCAAUUUGUUUGCAGUUAUCCACUAACCCAGGAAACACCACAUAACCUGUUUGCCUCUUAGAAUCAGACAUCACAGAGCAGCCAUUUCGGCAAUUCUCAAAUGUUGAUGUCCAUUCCAAGCUUUACAUAUAUAUCUUUCCUUGAAAUAAAUAAAUUCUAAUUAGAAACAAGCCCAUCAUAAAGGAGGAUCUACACCUAGAAAUUUUAUUUCCAUAGAUUGAAGAAAUAAACGAAGAACUUGGUUUUUGCUUAAUAUGUGCGUAUAUUAUUUGAAUCCUUCCUGCUAUUUUAUGAAUCAUCACUUCUUAAUCAUCAUUUAUGGAGGUUCUUUUAGUAUGUAGUCUAUAGAUGUUGCUUUAUUCAUUAGUGUAUAUAUUAUUUGUAGAUGGCAUCUCAAGCACUUGCUCAAAUAAAUUAUAAUUUAUUUAUACAUGCUGGUUUUUGAUGUGAAUAAAAUUACCUAUAUAGGCUUUACUUGAUGACAGCGACGAACAUUGUCCUACCUUGUAUGAUUAAUUGCUCACUAGGUGCUGGUGCUAACCCCAAAUAUUCCUGGCUGAGGAUACUGGAAGAGGGGUUGUUAACUCUUGAUGUUAUUAAAGUAGACUUCACUAUUCAGAUUGAUAAAGUUGAAAUCUGGUCUUCCUGCAUUAUAGUUUCCAUUUUCACUAGAGGAUUUCACUUUCAUUACCAAUGCUGAUGUUUUAUUUAGCAUUAGCGCUAAUUCAUUUAUUUCCUUCAAAUUGAAAGCAAAUAGUAUUAUCAUCUGAAACCUCACACCUGUAAUUUGAAUGUUGUUAGUAUCAAAGAAAUAAAUACUUGCCAUUUUAUAACUUAGUAGUUGGCAAGUUGUCUGUGAGCUACCAAUUGAGCAGAGAACAGAGGUGUAAGUAUUGUCCUAUUGUUUCUGACUGAAUUGGCGCUAAUGCACGAUUGAGCUGAUGAUAGUGCAUGUAGUUUUAAGUGUAGCUGACUGAGGAUGAUACAUUGCUUCUUAAAGUUUAAUCUAUGACUAGGGGAAGUACCUAUACUAAUUUGCUCUCAGUUUGAUUUGUAUUUUGUGAUUUUGUUUACUAUAGCUUGAAUCAAACAAUGAUAGUCGGCUCUGUAACCGAUUUCCUUUACAUAUAUUUCUUUUUAAGAUUCA